rnacentral:sRNA from 1 species
GGGUAAAACUUUAUGACUCCAUAACUUUUAUACCGUGAGGCCAAACUUGGCAUGUGAUACCUUUUCGGAAAGGGCAAAGACAGCCCUCCGACGAAAGAAGCAGGACAAUGGAACUUUUCCAUUGACUUUUUGACGACCCCAAAUUUUGACCUUUAAGUACUUUUUCGGGCAUUUUCGUGAUUUGGGCUAUAUUACGGACCCCAAAUUACUUGUUCAAGCAUUGUUUUCGAAUUUUUUCAUGCAUCAAAGCUCGUUAAGACUAGAUGGGGUAUCCCUACAUAGCGGGUGGGACCCACGGCGAAUGGUUCAUCAAGUCUUCAAAAAAGAAUAUAUACGAUUGCAUUGCAUAUACUAACGGAUGCGAUCAUACCAGCACUAAUGCAUCGGAUCCCAUCAGAACUCCGUAGUUAAGCGUGCUUGGGCGAGAGUAGUACUAGGAUGGGUGACCUCCCGGGAAGUCCUCGUGUUGCAUCCCUCUUUUAUGUUUAACCUUUUUUUUUUUGGUUAAAACUUUAUGACUCCAUAACUUUUAUACCGUGAGGCCAAACUUGGCAUGUGAUACCUUUUCGGAAAGGCCAAAGACAGCCCUCCGACGAAAGAAGCAGGACAAUGGAACUUUUCCAUUGACUUUUUGUCGACCCCAAAUUUUGACCUUUAAGUAUUUUUUCGGGCAUUUUCGUGAUUUGGGCUAUAUUACGGACCCAAAAUUACUUGUUCAAGCAUUGUUUUCGAAUUUUUUCAUGCAUCAAAGCUCGUUAAGACUAGAUGGUGUAUCCCUACAUAGCGGGUGGGACCCACGGCGAAUGGUUCAUCAAGUCUUCAAAAAAGAAUAUAUACGAUUGCAUUGCAUAUACUAACUGAUGCGAUCAUACUAGCACUAAUGCACCGGAUCCCAUCAGAACUCCGCAGUUAAGCGUGCUUGGGCGAGAGUAGUAUUAGGAUGGGUGACCUCCCGGGAAGUCCUCGUGUUGCAUCCCUCUUUUAUGUAGGUUUCAUAAUCCAAUGGAUGACGUGCUAUUACUAUGGUUCUUGUAGUUGAUCGAGAGAGUUGAAAAUCUCCUAUAUCUCUCUCUUUUGCCUCACCU